UGGGGAAUCUUGCGCAAUGGCCGAAAGGCUGACGCAGCGACGCCGCGUGUGGGAGGACGCCCUUCGGGGUGUAAACCACUGUUGCCCGGGACGAACAUCCUCUUUCGAGAGGACUGACGGUACCGGGUGAGGAAGCACCGGCUAACUCCGUGCCAGCAGCCGCGGUAAUACGGAGGGUGCGAGCGUUGUCCGGAAUCACUGGGCGUAAAGGGCGCGUAGGCGGCGCGGGAAGUCAUCGGUGAAAGUUCAGGGCUCAACUCUGAAUCGGCCGGUGAUACUCUCGUGCUCGAGCACUGUAGAGGCAGGUGGAAUUCCGGGUGUAGCGGUGGAAUGCGUAGAGAUCCGGAAGAACACCGGUGGCGAAGGCGGCCUGCUGGGCAGUAGCUGACGCUGAUGCGCGACAGCGUGGGGAGCAAACA
rnacentral:rRNA from 1 species